GUGCUUGCUUCAGCAGCACUUAUACUAAAAUUAGAACAAUACAGAGAAGAUUAGCAUGGCCCCUGCACAAGGAUGACAUGCAAAUUUGUGAAGCGUUCCAUAUUUUU
rnacentral:snRNA from 1 species